GCGGGUGUAGCUCAGUGGUAGAGCACAACCUUGCCAAGGUUGGGGUCGAGGGUUCGAACCCCUUCGCCCGCUCCA
rnacentral:tRNA from 20 species